rnacentral:rRNA from 1 species
GAUGAACGCUAGCGAUAGGCUUAACACAUGCAAGUCGAGGGGCAGCAUGGUCUUAGCUUGCUAAGACUGAUGGCGACCGGCGCACGGGUGCGUAACGCGUAUGCAACUUGCCUCACAGAGGGGGAUAACCCGUCGAAAGACGGACUAAUACCGCGUACACUUGGGAUAGGGCAUCCUGACCCAAGGAAAUGAAAUUCGCUGUGAGAUAGGCAUGCGUCCCAUUAGCUAGUUGGUGAGGUAACGGCUCACCAAGGCGACGAUGGGUAGGGGAACUGAGAGGUUGAACCCCCACACUGGUACUGAGACACGGACCAGAAUCCUACGGGAGGCAGCAGUGAGGAAUAUUGGUCAAUGGGCGAGAGCCUGAACCAGCCAAGUCGCGUGAAGGAUGACUGUCUUAUGGAUUGUAAACUUCUUUUAUACGGGAAUAACAAGAGUCACGUGUGGCUCCCUGCAUGUACCGUAUGAAUAAGCAUCGGCUAACUCCGUG